rnacentral:rRNA from 1 species
GAUGAACGCUGGCGGCGUGCUUAACACAUGCAAGUCGAACGGUGAAGGCGGAGCUUGCUCUGCUGGAUCAGUGGCGAACGGGUGAGUAACACGUGAGCAAUCUGCCCCUGACUCUGGGAUAAGCGCUGGAAACGGCGACUAAUACUGGAUACGAGCUGCGAAGGCAUCUUCAGCAGCUGGAAAGAAUUUCGGUCAGGGAUGAGCUCGCGGCCUAUCAGCUUGUUGGUGAGGUAAUGGCUCACCAAGGCGUCGACGGGUAGCCGGCCUGAGAGGGUGACCGGCCACACUGGGACUGAGACACGGCCCAGACUCCUACGGGAGGCAGCAGUGGGGAAUAUUGCACAAUGGGCGAAAGCCUGAUGCAGCAACGCCGCGUGAGGGACGACGGCCUUCGGGUUGUAAACCUCUUUUAGCAGGGAAGAAGCGAAAGUGACGGUACCUGCAGAAAAAGCGCCGGCUAACUACGUG